rnacentral:rRNA from 1 species
AUGUGCUGUUAUAGAUUUGAUUUGAAUGGCGAUCUCUUUCAUGAGCUGUUUUGCCAAUGGAAUCUUAUUCGUUUCAGAGUCUGUGAACGCUCCACAUAUAUUCCUUGCAAAACGAUGAUGCCUCCUUGCAGGUGCAGGGUCCUCAAGGCGAACCUGUUCCCAGAGUACAUGGUCAACAAUGCGAACGAGGCUAUUUAUUUGUCAGAGGACAUGGUCAACAAUGUGAACGGCACCUGUAGAUGGAUCUCAGGAACUUGGCGGCAGAUUUGGGAGCUCGCCUGUCCAGCGAAAGUACACCAUUUUGAGCAGAGGCGUCUGCCUGUUUCAGGUGGUCGUUUGGUUUGGCCGGGCUAG